GACGAACCGUGCGAACGUUAUUCGGAAUCAUUGGGCUUAAAGCGCGUGUAGGCGGAUGGGAACGUCGAUGUUGAAAGCCCCCGGCUCAACCGGGGAACUGGCGUCGAAACGACCCGUCUGGAGGGGCAUAGGGGGAGCUGGAACUUCCGGUGGAGCGGUGAAAUGCGUUGAGAUCGGAAGGAACGCCCGUGGCGAAAGCGAGCUCCUGGAUGUCUCCUGACGCUGAGACGCGAAAGCUAGGGUAGCGAACGGG
rnacentral:rRNA from 1 species